GUCUAUCUGCCCAAAUACCCUAAAAGUACCAGAUCCAUCUGCUCUUGAAAGCUAAACAGGGUCAGUCCUGGUUUCCAUUUGGAUGGGACACUGCCAAAGAAUACCAGGUGCUAUAGGCU
rnacentral:rRNA from 11 species